rnacentral:rRNA from 1 species
GACGUAGGGGGCGAGCGUUGUCCGGAUUUAUUGGGCGUAAAGGGCUCGUAGGCGGUUUGUCACGUCGGGAGUGAAAACACCGGGCUUAACUCGGUGCUUGCUUUCGAUACGGGCAGACUAGAGGCAUGCAGGGGAGAACGGAAUUCCUGGUGUAGCGGUGAAAUGACGCAGAUAUCAGGAGGAACACCGGUGGCGAAGGCGGUUCUCUGGGCAUGUCCUGACGCUGAGGAGCGAAAGUGUGGGGAGCGAACAGG